AUUGAACGCUGGCGGCAUGCCUUACACAUGCAAGUCGAACGGCAGCACGGGAGCAAUCCUGGUGGCGAGUGGCGAACGGGUGAGUAAUAUAUCGGAACGUGCCCAGUCGUGGGGAUAACGUAGCGAAAGCUACGCUAAUACCGCAUACGAUCUAUGGAUGAAAGCGGGGGAUCGCAAGACCUCGCGCGAUUGGAGCGGCCGAUAUCAGAUUAGGUAGUUGGUGAGGUAAAGGCUCACCAAGCCGACGAUCUGUAGCUGGUCUGAGAGGACGACCAGCCACACUGGGACUGAGACA
rnacentral:rRNA from 1 species